rnacentral:tRNA from 1 species
GCAGCGUUCAGUUACGGUUUUAGAAUUUAACAACCGUAUCAAGCAUAAGGGUGUGGCGUUUUGUAGCAGAUUCAUCAACAGC